UGGAAAUUUAAACAAAGCUAUAAUGCUAAGGCAAUAGCUGAAAAAAUAUGUGGUGUAUUCAGUAAAGGUCUAAUAAGAGAUUGGACAGUUAGAAGUUUGUUUGCGAAAUUCCGUUCUGAAGAUACGACUUUAAAGGACAAAGUUUGGAUUAGGCGUUCUUCCGACCUUUACGACAACUUUUAACCAUGCGUUAGUGUGAGGUAUGAUACACCCCGUGCAUGCAAGUCAAUUAAUUCUCACAAAAGCAUCAUCUUACUGCCCUCUAUUGUUCAGUAGCUGUAGCUCUAGCAUCAUUCUAUCGUGUAGCAUUAUUAUUUAAAUAAUUUCUUCAAUACCAACUUACAUAAACGUAGAAAUAUGCAACAAACGUAUGUCACACCCUACCACACCAUUAGCGUCAGUCUGUUUAUAAACGUUACAAAGGGUAUGCCACACCCCACCACAUCAGACACGUAAGUUUAAGGCACCAUACCAACGCAGGAUUAAAAGCAAUAUUGGAACAAAAUCCACGUUAAUCAACAAGAGAUGUAGCAGGAAGGUUGAAUAUAUCACAAUCAACUGUUUGCCGGAGAAAUUAAGGAAAGUCAGCAAGGGGUAAAAAAAAGGAAGAUUUGUGACUCGUCCCAAUAGCUUUACGUACACAGUCGUGUAGCUUUGCCCAAAACAGACACACAACCGAGCACAGUACUUUAUCCAUGCACUAUUUGUUAGUCUAUUUAAGUUAUUAAUGUAUUGGUCAGUCUAUUUAAAUUAUUAGUACCAUGCUAAAAAUUUAAUUUUAAAGCUUCUUUUUAGUUGAACGCAACCUAAGGAAACUUUGGGUGUUGGAAAGAGUGGGUGAAAAUGCAAUAGCAAGCAAAUAUAUGUGUGUGUGUGUGUGUGUGUGUGUGUGUGUGUGUAAAAAUAAAUAAAAAAUAUAUAAGGCGCUAUAUGUACGUAUUGAAAAAGGAGUAAAAAUGCAAUGGUAAACAAGUUAAUAUCCUUGAGAUGGAAUGUAAUAUAAAAAGAAAUGAGUAAUAUGUUAAUGUUAGUUUCAUAUGUACUGCACGUUGCACGGUCGCACUAUAUUUGUACAUUUAAACAUUACGCAGUUGACGUAUAAUAUUUAUAUAAGACGUAUGUAAUAAAAAAAGAUUUACAAGUGUUUGUUAUAUAAAAUCUAUUUCAUGUUGCUGCACUAUAAAGUGCACUAAAACUUUUUAUCUUGUUUUUGCAAAACUUCAAAUAUAUAUUUAUUUUAUUUUAAGUAAAACAAGCGUACACUAGUUCACCUAUAAAGAACAGAUUACUGACUUAAUUAAUUAACUAUGAAAAUGUAGACCUACGGCAUCCAAAACAAAUCAACAUCUAUUUAUAACUGUAAUACCAGCAAAUCUGCAUUCCGUCUAGGAGGUAUAUUUCCCUCUAAAAAUAGUUGGUAGAAGAGGAUUGAGGUUAUUGCAAUUCUGUAACUCAAUGAGAAUAAGUGUCGUUAUAAAAUCGGUAUCAUUAUAUUGUCAUUGCGUAUUUUUAUCUUCUAACGUAACGACACAAGCACUGUUUUUCCGAUGAGAACAGGUACAGGAAUUCCAUGUUCUAUUUGCAUGUUUUACGUGAAUAGAAUACGUAAAUAGGACUUUAUCAACAUGACAUCCACAUGAAUCUUGUGUGAACACUCGUAGGUAGAUUUUAAUACAUUUCAUCUACGUAGAAUUACUAAUGAAAUAGAACUGAGAUUAAAAUAGAAGAUAGCAAUGUGAAUUUCAUGGAAAUAAAUUCAAACCAACUUUUAUCCUAUACAAUCCACGUAGGAUUAUUAAUUAAAUUUGAAGGAAAUAAAAAUAGUAGAUAGCAACAUAGAAUUUACGUGAGUAAAUAUAAAUUAAUUUUUAUCCUAAGUAUCCAUGUUGAAAUUUAGAAGCAAUAUUGAAGUUCUAUAAACUUUGGACAUCUCGUCCAGAUAAGUCUUUUACUUAUUCACACUUUAUUAAAACAUCAUUCUUCACCUCCAUUAUUUACAAGUAUUCAGAACAAUUGAAAAUGUACAUUAUAAAAUAUGUGGAAACAUGGUGUGUUAGAGUUUUAUUUACCAAUAACGUAACUUUUUUUUAAUGGUACAGUUUAAAGGUUAAUAAUAAAAAGGCAAAAGAAUAAUAAUAAACACACUUUUUAAUAAAAGAAUAAUAUUGUUGUGUCUACGCGACACUGGUACACACACUCGUAAAAAUGUGAAGGUCUCUUAAGAAAUCACGGGCGCAACAAUUCAUUUUAUAUUAAAAAAAUAUAUAUAUUUUUGUAGUACAUACAAUUAUUAAUAAUUAACAAUAUAAUAGUAAAUCAUGUAGCUAACAAGUAAUAAAAAGUAACAAGAAAAGUUGGUAACAAUUAAUAAAUGAUACGACAUAUUAAGUGAAUUUUUCAUUAUCUGAUCUUUACUUUUGACAAACGUUUUGCAUUCUUUUAAUAAACCAAGAAAAGUAGUUUUUACGCAAGAAGGUCAUAAUUUCAUCGUGGCUCGAUAAUAAGAUGCACACCACUUUUCGCAUCGAGAACGAAAGAUCCUUCAAUGAAAUGAAGCGGAACUGAAGUCCGGGAAUGAAGUUUAAAUUUGUAUUUCGAC